AUAGGCUAAGUCGAAAAAUGGGUCAUUUUAAAGCUUGUUAAUGAUUUCAAUGUGUUUAAAUGAGAAACAAGCAAAAGCAAAUUUGGGCGGUUUUUUGUGCAUUCUCGCGGUUUUUGACGAGGUUUUGGGCUGGAAAACCUUCCUGGCAUCUGGCAACACUGAAGACCACCGCAUUUCCAGAGGCUGGGUUUAUGAUUGAGUCCACUGAACGUUAAGAUCGAGAAGGAAUUCUGCAGGAUCACACUGAAGCUAUUGCAGUCCACAUUCCUGGGCAAAUUGGACCAACACACACCCAAGCUGUUGCCUGUACAGGAGGAAGGGUGGAGCCGUUGGGAAGAAACUUGAUGAGACCCUUGACAUGUUAAAUGAGGCAUGUAUUUACAACAGUGUGGUAGUAAUUAGUUGACGACACAAUUGAGUCGCGAAGAGAAGUUGUGAUCAGAGGACUCACACUCUACCUUGGUGAAUACACUGGAGAGUUAAUGAAGGACUACCAGGUUUUUAAUGACGACGAUGCUGCGACCAUCCAAGAAGCUAUUACUACAUUUGCCCUCGGCAUCUUUGUUGUCAGCAAAGCCAGGGAUGGUCUCCCCAAGCAAGCUGGAAUAGCCAUCGAGGGACCUUUUUGGUAUCCCAGGUGUGGCACAUGCUUGCACCUAUCUGAUGGGCCUUAUCUAUGCCUUGGAACUGAGGUACCCUAAUAAACUGAAAUACACGUUUGAGGUCUUUCAGAAGAUCUUCCUAGAGCUAGAGGAUGCAAACCAAAAACUGUCCUCCAAAGUCCAUGAUCUCAAGGUCUGUUUGCAAGCUUAAAAUCUAUACAGAUGGUGUAUACAGUAGAAUGUAUUUUGAUUUAUUUGUAAUAGAAUGUAUUUUGAUUUGUUUUUUUUGGCUUUUGUCAAAUAAAUGUAUUUAUUUGAGCUAAA